UAAAAUCUUAAGUUAAGAUAAACUAGUAACCUUCAAAGUUAAAAUUAAACUAUUUUAGAUUUU
rnacentral:tRNA from 1 species